rnacentral:rRNA from 1 species
UACAGAGGGUGCAAGCGUUAAUCGGAAUUACUGGGCGUAAAGCGCGCGUAGGUGGUUUUGUUAAGUUGGAUGUGAAAUCCCCGGGCUCAACCUGGGAACUGCAUUCAAAACUGACAAGCUAGAGUAUGGUAGAGGGUGGUGGAAUUUCCUGUGUAGCGGUGAAAUGCGUAGAUAUAGGAAGGAACACCAGUGGCGAAGGCGACCACCUGGACUGAUACUGACACUGAGGUGCGAAAGCGUGGGGAGCAAACAGGA